CUUAAAUCAAUGACAAGGACAGGUCUUACUCAGACUGCUGCAAGCGAAUCGGGGACUGGUGUGAGCCCGAACAGUAAGUGAGAAUGGAUAUCCCCUUCGAGUGUGAGACUGAACCAUUAAGUAAGUCGCACCGAUUCGCCCCCGUUAUCGGGCUCUUAAGUGGUAGUUCGUACGGUUGAACUACUAGUAGGGUGGUACCGCGAGUUCAAGCCAAGCUCGUCCCUAUA
rnacentral:ncRNA from 2 species